GACGAACGCUGGCGGCGUGCUUAACACAUGCAAGUCGAACGGAAAGGCCCUGCUUUUGUGGGGUGCUCGAGUGGCGAGCGGGUGAGUAACACGUGAGUAACCUGCCCUUGACUUUGGGAUAACUUCAGGAAACUGGGGCUAAUACCGGAUAGGAGCUCCUGCUGCAUGGUGGGGGUUGGAAAGUUUCGGCGGUUGGGGAUGGACUCGCGGCUUAUCAGCUUGUUGGUGGGGUAGUGGCUUACCAAGGCUUUGACGAGUAGUCGGCCUGAGAGGGUGACCGGCCACAUUGGGACUGAGAUACGGCCCAGACUCCUACGGGAGGCAGCAGUGGGGAAUAUUGCACAAUGGGCGGAAGCCUGAUGCAGCAACGCCGCGUGCGGGAUGACGGCCUUCGGGUUGUAAACCGCUUUCGCCUGUGACGAAGCGUGAGUGACGGUAAUGGGUAAAGAAGCACCGGCUAACUACGUG
rnacentral:rRNA from 1 species